CCGUCUGGUGGCAAAGCUAUUUAAAGACUACAGCAGCGUGGUGCGGCCAGUGGAAGACCACCGCCAGGUCGUGGAGGUCACCGUGGGCCUGCAGCUGAUACAGCUCAUCAAUGUGAUGAAGUAAAUCAGAUCGUGACAACCAAUGUGCGUCUGAAACAGGUGACAUGGUAGAUCUGCCACGCCCCAGCUGCGUGACUUUGGGAGUUCCUUUGUUUUCUCAUCUGCAGAAUGACAAUGGGUGGAUUACAACCUAAAAUGGAAUCCA
rnacentral:lncRNA from 10 species